CAACCAAUGCGCUCCUUUAAAGCUAGUCUAGAAACAUACAUCUGCAGCCUAAUGUCGCUUCUAUUCAGUUGAUUUCGCAGUCAGAAUGAUCACAGGUUGCUGCGCGGUCGGCUGCAGAAACAGACAAGGAUAGAAACCAAACUUGUCGUUUUAUAACUUUUAAUGAGGGAAGAUACGGCGGCAGCUGCCAGUCAUGACCGUCAGGCCUAACGGCGAAUUUGCAGCUAACAGUUUUACAAGACUUGAAGACCAGUUUCCAGUUUCAUAUCUCUAAUUUACGACAUCAGGGAUGAUGAAAGAGUUGCUCUGCCUCCUCUCCUCUGCCCUCCUCGGCAAAAUUGCUGUUCUCUCCAAAAAUAGACCUGCCUUGCAGACCUUUGAACAUUUCACCAGGCUGAUCGUUUGAGGCCUGCAGCACUGAUGGAAACGGAGCGACACUUUUUUUCGUACUCCAUAAUUAUGCUAGUCAGCGCAAAGCAGUGCAGCGAAAGGUUGGGGAACACAAUGUUACGCGGGAGAGCUGCUUCUAAUUAAACCCUGCAAAAAAUUUUUAAAAAAAA